CCCACUGCGCCUGCGCACACCUAACCCCGCGCUCAACCCCGACCCGAGUGAGAGAGGACUUGUUGGAGGGAAGGGCCGGGGAGGGCGCGUCGCUGCGCGCCCGGGGUCGGGGGGCCGCCUGGACCGCGCAGGCGCGCUGGGGACCAAAGGGAGUGCCUGCUGGCCCAUCCUAGUAGUUCAGAGCUACUUUGCCUUCAGGACUGAAAUCUAGGUAACAACAUGUUUAAAUCAAGAUUAUGUGAAGCACCCUUCAAAGGAGAUUUAACAGUGUGCCCUAUCACUUAUCAGCUCUAUCUUAUCUAGGAUCUAUUUCUAGGCUAUUCAUCCUGUCCAUUUCUCUGCCUAUUUCUGUGACUGCUGUUACUGUCACAGUCUUUUCAUUUUUCAACUGACUCAAGCUCUGGAUAGGUAACGCAAAAGGGGCCACCUGUGAAAUACUGCUAAUGACAGCCUCUUCAAUUUACCAUUAAGAGGGCAACAUAAGCUGCAUUUUCAGAAGGUCUUAUGAUCAACAGGAACUUGAUGACAUAUAAAACAUAUGAACAGAUGAAAAUAUAUGGACCCUUCUAAAGAAUGCUCACAGUAGCUUCAAUCAUUAUGAUCUCAAAAUUGAAACAAUGCAAAUAUCAUUCAACAAUGAAAGAAGCCAGACACAAAAGACUACAUAUUGUAUGAUCCUGUUUAUAUUAAGCUCAAGAACAUAUGAAUUAAGCUAUGAUGAUAAGAGUUGCAGGAGAGGCUGGCUACCUCUCGGGGAAGAGGAACUGACUGGAAAAUGUCAUAAGGAAAUCUUCUAAGGUGAUGGAAUAUUGCAAAGCUUGGUCUGGGUGAUGGCUACAUGGCUGGAUACAUAUGUGAAAUUAAUUGUGCUAUACAAUUAAGGAACGAAGGAAGUUAGUGUGAAGUGGAAUUACUGGGUCACAGAGGGCAGGGCCAGUGAGCCAUGAGCCGAGGACUCCUCACCGCCUUCCUGCCACAUCAUCAUGGCGGCCGCUCUGCUUGGGAAAACCUGGGAGCCAGAUAUCGCGAGAUCCCAGCCUCACUUUUGGCGCCAAAAGCUGUUAGUGAAAGUGGAUCCAGCUGCUCCUGCUCAAAAGCCAAUAAAGAGGCAAGAGCACAGGCUCCGGACGCGCAGGCUCAGCGGCCAUGGCUCACGGGCCUAGCUGCUCCGCGGCAUGUGGGAUCUUCCCGUACCGGGGCACGAACCCGUGUCCGCUGCAUCGGUAGGCGGACUCUCAACCACUGCGCCACCAGGUUCUCACUUUGGGACAACUAAACUGGUCCGUUUUGCAUAGUCACAUGACUAUGACUACAUGAAAGCCAAGCAAAGAUGCUAAUCUUCUAAACAAAGAGGCACCAAGGGAGAGACUGGACCUGGGGACUCACAGGACUGAGAGAAUCACGAAGACAUUCUGCACUGGGUUUGCACUGCACUAUCUUCAAGACCUUAGAAAAUUCUCAUUAAAAGUUACAAUGCUGACUUUGUUAAAAAUACCGUGGUCCCGGGGAGCACAGAUGCCUGCAAGAAGCUGGCUCAAAAUUGGCAAGAAGAGCACAGCAAUGAAUAGUCCUUGGUCUGUGGUCCAGAGCAAGUUGGGGGCUGAAAUGGCAAAUGACAACCAGGGAAGAUCUAGGAAGGUCUGAGCACUUCUCAGGUUCCUGGGGGAAAGAAAUAGAGUCAGUAUCUGGAUUUCCUGAGAUCAAACAGAGUGAGACUCAAACUACUGUGAUUUGGCAUUUAAAGGAAGUGUGACACGAAAACAAACUGAAAUUUUAAAAUCAUAGUCCUUAUAAAGCUUGGAAAAACAUGCAGCACAAUGCCUCAUUAUACUAACAAAGGAGCUGAGGCUCACAGGAAUCAUCAGAGUCUCAGUUUCCCUGUCUUUAAAGUAGGAAAGGUGGACAAGAUCUUCUUAAGUAAUUCUAAGUGGUGGAGGGAAUGGCUGCUGGAGGGCAGUCAAGUGUUUGCUGCAAAUUGUGCUGAGUAUCAGCCUGCUUUCUGAUAAAAUAUUAAGGUUGGGAAUAUUUGCCUCACAGCUAAAAUUUACUAUUUGUUUCUGAGGCUUUUGCUGCCUGUGUUUCUGUCACUUCUUUCUUGAUUGUACAACAGCCCCAGCCUUCUGACAAACCUGCUUUGGAAACUGGCCAAGAAAUGCUAGCUUGCUCCCAGGGCCGAGAGAUGGCAUGUCACUUUCUCAUCUGGAAAGAACGACUCUAGAAAAGGCCAUUUCUCCUUGUAUUAUCUAUUGGUCCACCAGCCACCUUUAGGCCAAAUCUGUCAGCCUUCUGUGUGUCUGCUCCAGGACCAGGCCUGAGCCUGAAACUUCUUUUGUACCAGGGAAACUUCCAGAUCAGCCCCACACUCCUCACUUGGCUUCUCCGUGGGCAAUAAAGCAGCAAGUUCCAUCACCGAUGUCCAAAUGGCAAAUGAGAAGUGAUGGUUUGAGUAGAAGGUACUGUCUGGAAAAGAAGAGAAAGGCAGCGCUUGUGACAGAGCUGUUCACACUUUCCCUGCACAGCUGGGAGACAUUAGCUGGAUUUCCCCAGACUGGUCUGCUUUCUGGCACCGAAGUGUUAUUCUGAGAAGUCUACAGGCUUGACCAGAUUUCCAAAAGUUCGAGGGGACAGAAAGAUUAAGAAAGUCUAGAGUGAUGGGCAUUUCCUGAAAGAUGUGUGACUGACAUAGGUCUCUCCUUCCUUCCUCCUCCACCCCCCAAAAAACCCUGGAGGAAACCGGGGCACUGAAAGGACAUGCGAAUGGGGACCAGGUGGAGGGUGACCUGCAGUUCAGCCUUGGGAGAGGCGUGUCAUCACUGCUCCUACUUCUCACCACACAGCCUCGGAAGAGUCAUUGCAAGCCUGAGGGCCAUUUUGAGAUUAGCAGCCACAAAAGAAGCCCAGAUGGCUGGCUUGGCCCUAAUGCCAAGGUAUCAAAAAAUUGCUGAAGUGUGGAUGGACUCAGAACCAGAGUGUGGACUCACCAUUUUCUCCUGCUCCAAAGCAGCAGACCAGUGGGUUACAGCCCCAGACCCAUUGGGGUCAGUGGUGAUGCCUGGAGGGCUGUGCUCUGGGGCUCCUCCCUCCCCUCUGCCUAAAUUCACCAGAAAGGGUACUAGCCAUGAUGUGACCUACACCCCGCACAAUGCCAGCGUGUUGCCAAACCCCCAGGGGAACAGCCUUCAUAGCCCGAAAUGCAUAGACACUUGAGGAGUGCAGUCACUAUAGAAACACACACUGCGUGUGUGAGGCAGAUUUAUGGAUCAAUGGAUCCAUACUUUAAAGUGAGACUGAAAUCCACAGAAAUCUGACAUAGGAUAUGUAGAGUUGAAGUCCCAGUAAGUAGAAGAAAGCUUGCCCACUGUCAACAGUGACAAGUUGGUCAGUAAUUUGCUGUAAGUCCAUGAUGAAAACUGAAAUAUUGAUAAAGUUACUAGUAAUUCUUAUGAGGGCCCAGAGUCAUAAAAACCAAGUAAGCAACCAACCAAACAACAGCAACAACCACAGUUAGUAUCAGUCAGGAAGGGCCUCUUGGAGCAGAGCUUUGAACCAAAGCUUUAAGAUGGACAAAAAUAAGGUUUGGUAGAGGGGAAGUGAGGACAUUCAAGGCAGACAGACAAUAUGCAUGAAGGCACAAUACGUUUUCUGGACAGAAAACCCAGACUUGGAAGAAGCAAGCAGAUUCAUCUGGCUUGAGCUGAGAAAGUAUUUAGAAGCAUGAGGAAAGGACAGAAAAUUGAUGUAGGUUAUUGAAUAAAAGAUUAAGGAGUUUUACAUACUAGGCUGAAGGUAGCCACUAGAGAUACUUAAGCAGGCAAUUGACAGAUAUCCAUUGUACUACACUGAUAUGUAGGAGUUUGUAAAAUACACAUCAAAUCACAUUCACAGACUUCCUUUUUAAAUCUGCCCUCAUUAAUAACGUCUUCUGUGCUGUUAAAGUCUGGAGGCAUCACCAAUGCUCCGAUGGAUGACCUGGUGGGAAACAGGAGUUUCAGGGUUUCAUGAUAAUGUAUUUGGGAUUUUGUAGUCCUUCUUAGCAAAUUUCAGUUUCCAGAAAAGUCAUCCUGAAAAAGAGUGCUCUUAGGAUUUUUAUAUAAUCAUUGACACAAUAAAUGUCGUGGUCAAGAUGUUAGGAUAACUAGUAUUUUUGACAAACUGAACAUGAAAAAGUAUUCUUUGUCAGUCAGUUAGGUUAUUUUCUGUGCUUAUUAAUGAUUUCAGGAAUCCUUAUUGUGAAUUGAGGGUAAGAUUAGAAGUGUGGUUAGAAGUUUUUUUUAACAAGGUGCUGUUGUGUUGUAUCUAUGAUGUCUACGUAUUUUAUGUCUUCAAAUCCUCACAUAAAAAGGGGCCCAUAUACUUAUUUACUACUUCAUUCACUUCAUACAGUUUAUAAUCUGAUAUUUCCCAGAUUUGAAUGCAAAAGUUUAAUUGUUUGUAUGUUUGCUUGUUUAUUCUUUAAACUAGGAUUUUGGUAAGAAUUGGAUGUUAAAUAAUUUGCAAUUAUUUUCUUGGAUAGGGUUUUGUUUUGUUUUAAAUUUAUUUUUAUCCCAUAGUACCUACAAAUAAUUUUAGUUAUCAAAGAUUUUUUUGUUCAGCAGAACAAAAAUCCACCAGUCUCUUGAUUCCUCUUUCACAGUUCCUCACAAUGGGGCCCAGAGUAAAUCAUUUUCAACUUUUUUUGUUGUCUCCUCUGACAUUUACAUCAGAAUUUUAAUAUAAUGUAUACAGCCUUUUUCUCUUGAUUCUGGCUAAGAACUAGACAAAAUCACUGUUGCCCAAAUCAUUGUCAUUUUAAUUCUCAUUCUUUUUGAUAUGACCCAUUUUUCUUAAGGUCUGUUUUGUCCCUAUUGUUUGGACAUUUCGCAGUCCUGUGCCAGACUGUAGGUUCUUUUUCAUGCAUUGUGCUGGCACUCAUAUUAUUCAGUUUGGGGAAAUAUUCUUGUAUUUCUUCUGCAUCAUUUUCUCUAUUCUUCUUUUUCCCCUGGAACUUAGAAUAUUGGAACUUUAAUUUUCUCUUCUUCUAUCAUCAUGUCUUUUUCCUUGUUCAGUUUUGGUAGAGUUCCUCACCUUUGUCUUCCAAAGUUUCCACAGAGUUUAUAUAUUUACUCACAUAUUUUAAAUUGCCUUUCUAUUUCCUUUAGUGGUAUGCUGUUCUUGUUUUAUUUGUGUAAUAUUCCCUUAUCUCUCUAAUGUUUUCUGCAACGUUUUCCUCUUCUUGCAUUUUCCCUUUUUUUUCCUGUUUCUGCUUUUCCACUUUGCUUAUUUCAGCCUCUCUAUUUCUUGUUGGAGAUAAUCCUCAAAUACAUGGUUAUCAUUGGCUGUUCUUUUAUGUUGAAGAGUGAGGCACUGAAAAAUUGCCUGACAUCUGUUUGUGCAAGGGGAGGGGGUGUGGGCUGGUGGCUGCAUUGCAGGCAAUAGAGAGGCCCUCUGGCUUUUUAAAGGGACCCCUCUUAUCAAUACUAGUGUCUUCCCUCUAGAGUUGUUUGUUUUCUCCACAGAAGGAGUUUCCAAUCUCCUGUUUAGAAGGUGAGGUGAUGACAGAGGAAGAUAAAAAACCCAGCUGAUGGGUGCUCUGGAACUGGAUGGGGAAAGAAGACAGAAGGUUUCUCAGCAGUCAGGGUGUCGGUAUUCACUGGGUGACAUUGUUUUCAGUGCGCCACCCCUUCUACUGUCUGUCCUUGUACCUGGUAUCCCUAGUCCUGAACCUGUGGUUAAUAUAGAGGAUAAAACAUGUAGUUUCUUACUAGAGUAAAAGAAGCACUCUGACAGUGCAGAACAGAAGUGAGAAGUAGAAGUCCCCAUCUCUAGAACUGACCUCCCAUUUCUGAGCCUUUUGCAGGUUCUGUAGACACAUCUGCUUGCUUCUGUGGCCACUCUUCACACACACACACUCAGUUGCUUAGAUAGGACCUUCCUUCUACCUUCUACAUCAUUUAUGAUUUGUCCAUCAUUUUCUGUAUGUACAUUUUAUUUGAAUUAAACAUCUUCCAGUCUCA